rnacentral:lncRNA from 1 species
CUUUGCAAAGGUAUGCUGGUCCUUCCCCCCUGCUAACUUGUACUGUCCUCCAGGACAAACACUGCUGGGAUGACUGACAUGAAGAAACAAUAGCGGCUACCCUCAUUGCUAUGGAAACACAGGUCGACAGUAAUUUGCCUUGAUAGAAUGUUAAGACAUCCCUAUAGCAAAAACGAAGAUACUUGUGCGUGAAGGAGAUUUAAAUGGAAAAGUCGGUGCACAGAGACAGUCCCACUCUUUCGGUGUUGGAAACCUGGGUCCAGUGGCACGAAAAAUCGUUACGCCUGGAGAAUUCCUCAGCUGCAUUGGAUGGCCGUGUUGUCUUUUGUGCUCCAACAUGCCCUAAGCACUCCACAGUGCUUUGCUGCUUCGCCAUCUCAGCCAUUGAACCUUCUUAUUGGUUUCUUCCGUCUGUUCGGCCAAAGCAGUCUUCACAUGCUGGAGGUAGGUAGGUGGCACCAUGGAUAGAGCCAUGAGCUUGGAGUAAACUGGAUGACACUGGGCAAAUCACAACCGCUGCUUAUCUCAAUUUCAUCAACUGUAAGUUGAGUACCAAAUUAGCAUCUAGCAAACAGGGUUAUUGUGAAAAACAUUUAUAAGGCACUUAGUAUUCUGUUUGGCACACAAAGGUACUUAAAUGCUUUCUUCCUUUAUCU